rnacentral:rRNA from 1 species
AUUGGACGCUGGCGGCAUGCUUUACACAUGCAAGUCGAACGGUAACAGGUUAAGCUGACGAGUGGCGAACGGGUGAGUAACACGUGGGUGAUCUGCCCUGCACUUCGGGAUAAGCCUGGGAAACUGGGUCUAAUACCGGAUAGGACCACUGCCUGCAUGGGUGGUGGUGGAAAGCUUUUGCGGUGUGGGAUGGGCCCGCGGCCUAUCAGCUUGUUGGUGGGGUGAUGGCCUACCAAGGCGACGACGGGUAGCCGGCCUGAGAGGGUGACCGGCCACACUGGGACUGAGAUACGGCCCAGACUCCUACGGGGGGCAGCAGUGGGUAAUAUUGCACAAGGGGAGCAAGCCUGAUGCAGCGACGCCGCGUGAGGGAUGACGGCCUUCGGGUUGUAGACCUCUUUCAGCACCGACGAAGAGCAAGUGACGGUAGGUGCAGAAGAAGGACCGGCCAACUACGUGCCAGCAGCCGCCGUAA